rnacentral:rRNA from 1 species
AACGAACGCUGGCGGCAGGCCUAACACAUGCAAGUCGAACGCUGUAGCAAUACAGAGUGGCAGACGGGUGAGUAACGCGUGGGAACGUGCCUUUCGGUUCGGAAUAACUCAGGGAAACUUGAGCUAAUACCGGAUACGCCCUUCGGGGGAAAGAUUUAUUGCCGAAAGAUCGGCCCGCGUCCGAUUAGCUAGUUGGUGUGGUAAUGGCGCACCAAGGCGACGAUCGGUAGCUGGUCUGAGAGGAUGAUCAGCCACACUGGGACUGAGACACGGCCCAGACUCCUACGGGAGGCGGCAGUGGGGAAUAUUGGACAAUAGGCGCAAGCCUGAUCCAGCCAUGCCGCGUGAGUGAUGAAGGCCCUAGGGUUGUAAAGCUCUUUCGCCAGGGACGAUAAUGACGGUACCUGGAUAAGAAGCCCCGGCUAACUUCGUGCCAGCCGCCGCUGUAACAC